GUCUGUAGCGCGGUGGUCCCACCUGACCCCAUGCCGAACUCAGAAGUGAAACGCCGUAGCGCCGAUGGUAGUGUGGGGUCUCCCCAUGCGAGAGUAGGGAACUGCCA
rnacentral:rRNA from 1 species